AUUAAAAAUUCAAAAAAAUUAUAUAUUAGUAAAUGAAAUCAAAUCAAACAAAUAAAGGAAACAACCUAAAAAAUAAAAUAAUAACUUGUGGAAAAAAAUCUUGCAAUAUAAAAUCAUUAAAUAUGAAGAUACGAUUUUUUUUUUUUACCAUUGAAUUUUGAAUUAAAGUGUAAAUUAAUGAUAUGAAGGAAUCUUGGAAUAUUAAAGAUUCCUUUGUAUUGGUGAUUUGAUAUUUUAUUUGAAAUAGUAAUUGACAAAUAUAAUGCAUAAUUAAGUAUAUAAUUCGAAACAUAUUAUAAAAUUAAAUAGUGUAUUUGAAAUAUACUGACAAACUACUACAUUUAGAUUGUUAACAUAUAUUGCAUUUAAAUUGUUAAAAUAUACUGUAUUUAAAUUGUUAAAUAUUAAAAUUUCAAUAUAUUGCAUAUUUAUUAAAUAAUUGGGUGAUGACGAUUGACGAGGCAUUAUGUGUAUCCACGAAAGAAUACGGAUUAGAUUCCUAUACCAUAUGGCAUUAAUACAAUACAAAUAUUAUCUUCUUCUUCUACCAUAUAAUAAUAAUAAUAAUAAUAAUAAUAAUAAUAAUAAUAAUAAUAAUAAUAAUAAUAAUAAUAAUAAUAAUAAUAAUAAUAAUAAUAAUAAUAAUAAUAAUAAUAAUAAUAAUAAUAAUAAUAAUAAUAAUAAUAAUAAUAAUAAUAAUAAUAAUAAUAAUAAUAAUAAUAAUAAUAAUAAUAAUAAUAAUAAUAAUAAUAAUAAUAAUAAUAAUAAUAAUAAUAAUAAUAAUAUGGUAUAAUAAAAAUAAUAUACAAAAAAUAGUGUAUAUGCAUUAAAUAGUUCUAUUAAAAAAUAAAACAUUUUUUAUUAUUAUUUUCGAUGGAGUGGGUAUUCGAAUAUCCAAAAUAUUGAAAAUUAAAAAAAAAACAACAACAACAACAUAUUCCUUUAUUUUAAUAUUUUAGUAUUUAAAAAAAUAUUUUUUUUAUGAAAAUUAUUUGAAUAUUCGUAAAAAAAUUGAGUUUCAUGAAUUUUUUUCAAUAAAUAUAUUUUGAUAUACUGAAAAUAUAAAUAAGAUUUUUUUAUUUCGAUUUAUAAAAUAUUAACUUUGGAAAUAAUAUAUAUACAUGUGGUAAUUAUUAAAUGAUUGUGUAAAUGUAAAAUAGGAAAAAACUUAACAACAUCCCUAAAUAAAAAUGCCACCUAAUCAAUUGAAGAAUCCACCUCAUCAAUUGAACUCCAACUAAGCAAUUUUGACAAAUGACAUCAUCAUUUGCCACAUGUCAAUCAUUGAGGGCAUAAAUCCUCUUUUUUAUAUUAUAUAUAGAUUAUGACACCCCUUGAGGUAAGGUCACAUUACGAAAUGACCCUCAUAUUUGGGUAAUUACAACCACCUCCUUCAACUAUAGAUCUUUUUACACGUUCAUCCGUAUGGUGUUAAAUUCAACAACAUUUUCUACAUUCCCUGAAAUGUUCUCCAGUUUAUACUUGUUUUGUGCAUAAAUGCAAUUUCGUAAGUACCAUAAUCUGAUAUUUACAAGCCAAGAGAUACAUCUUAUGGUCAGUUUGUUUUAAAAUGUUGAGCUUGAAUAGGAUAAAACGAGUACAAACUGAAAAAUAUUUCAUAUAAUCUAGAAGAUUCCACUAAACUUAACAUAAGGAUGACCUUAUAAGAAAAUUCAUAAUUGAUAGACGAUUGGUAAUUACCCAAAACAAGGGGGGUUUUCGUAAUUUUGAUCCUACUUUAGGGGCGGUGGCCGUAAUUUACCAAUUUUUUUUUUAAAUAUGGUUGAAACAACGAUUUUCAAGCCAGAUGACGCGCUUAAUAUAGUCCAUAGUAGUAGCCCCACACGUUUUCGUGGGCCCACCACCACAGUCGUCAUCCUUUCUUCCUUCUUCUUCAUCCAAACUUUCUCUCUCUAUCUCUCUCUCUCCUCCAAUUCUGCUACCAGAAAUCACGGCGGAAACACAGAGGCGCAAACUAGCAAAACCCUAAUCAACCCCCGCUUCUGAUAACCUCGUCUUAAAACCCAAUAAACCCUUGUAGUAAAAAGACACUCGCUAGCUUCGGACACUACUGAAUAUAACCCGUAUAAAAAAGAUCUAAUUUUUCCGUUUCCUUUUGUACCUACUCUCUCUCUCUCCUCUCUUUCUCUCUCCUCAAUUCUCAUCCUCUUUCCCCCACACUUUGAAACAAAACAAACCCAUAUUUCCCAUCAGAUAACAUCCACCUCAAACACACACACACACACAUGUGUAUGUGUGUGUAUAUAUAGAGUCGUUUACUGGUAACAAUUGGGCUGGUGCAAUUAAUUGUUUUUUGGUAGGACCGCCGCAUGUUGGUUUUUUUGUCCCCUCUAGAAAUUAAAACCCUUUUGCUUCUUCUUCUUCUUCCUCUCUUAUCCUGGCCCCCUUGAUUUUCUCUCUCUUCAUCUUCUUAAUUAAUUAUAUUUUCUAUUUUUUUAAUUUUUUUUUGGGGAAAAAAAAAAUAAAUGUCGCAGAAGCGGCAACAACCGGAGGAGGGCACCUCUUUCGACGAGCGCCGCCCCAGAAAAUCGCCGUCUUUCAGAAGGUCGAAUUUCGUUAAUUUUUUUAAGUUUCUUGAUAUUUAAUUUUUGUCAGAGAAUAUUCAUUUGCCAUUUUAUUUGAACAAUUUUUAGCUUUUUUUUAAGAAACUUAUAAGCUAUUAAAUUUUUGCUGUAAUCUUGUACAGUGUGGUGAGGGAUGUAAUUAACCUCUGCAAAUUACAAAAUCUCAUCGAGCCCGUUUUGGAGCCUCUCAUUCGUCGAGUUGUAAGUUCGUCUUGUAUACGACAUUUUUUUUAAAAUAGCUUCUAUUUGAGUAAUCAAUUUGGAAUGAGGUAACUCGAUUAGGAAUAAAUAUAAUCGGGUUUUUUUUUUGUGUUCUUGACCGUACUUAAUACUUUUAUCAACGAAACUCGUGCAUGAUAAUUAUAAUGAAGAAUUAUGCUGCGCAUCGUAUUAUAGUGAAGAGAAGUAAGUGGCAUUUAGUUGCUACUCGUAAAAUCUACUUCGAUAAAAGCUCUGAUGAAAAUCAUGAAUCGAUCUUUUCACGGAGCUUGUAAAUGUAUCGAUUUAUCGAACAAUCUAUUUAUGAUAAUGUUUUCUUAUUUUCGUUACUAAAUUACUUUACCGUAUUAAUUGUAAUGUUGUCGCAAGUAAUGAAAAAAUACGAAAAAUUCUUAAUGUUUUCAGAAUGUUAUGAAAAAAUACGAAAAAAUUUCCUCUGCUAUUUAUGAUAAUGUUUUCAUUACUUUACCGUAUUAAUUGUUCGAUUUAUCGAACAAUCUAUUUAAGAUAAUGUUGCCGCAAGUAAUGAAAAAAAUUCUUAACAUUGAAUUCGGCAAAGUAGGAAACUUACACGGGAUGAUUUUGUAAUGGUAGAAAAUAGUAAAGGAGAAUUUGGUAAUUUCGCUAUUUCAAGAAAGAAGUGUAGUAAACCGCAAACUUCUAUUGCUAAAACAAUGAUGUGACGUUUUCAGGUAAAAGAGGAAGUCGAUUCGGCAUUACGAAACUACGCAAUAAGUAUGAAACGGUAUUUCUUCAUAUCUCUUACUAAAAAAUUACACAGGACACCGUUUUCACUUAAAUUUCCUAAUUAUUUUUUCGGUAAAAAAAAAAAUUAAUUAUAGGAAUUGCGGGAAAGAAAUACAACAAAACCCUCCUGAAUCACGGAGUUUACAGUUACGAUUUCUAAGCGCUAUAUGUCUUCCCGUAUUCACCGGAACACGUAUAGAAGGAGAAGGGUGCUCGAAUAUGGAAGUUGCUUUAUUCGAUAAUCUAAUCGGAGAAGUUAUUUCCGAUGGUAUUGGAUCCUCUGCGAAAGUUGAGAUUGUAGUUCUUGAAGGAGAUUUUAACGGCGACGAGAGAGAAAAUUGGACUUUUGACGAGUUUAGAAAUAAUACGGUGAGAGAGAGACAAGGCAAGAAAUCCCUUCUGAACGGGGACGUGAUUGUAAAUAUUAAAGAUGGCACUGGUUUUUUGGGCAAUGUUAUAUUUACGGACAAUUCGAGCUGGACAAGAAGCC
rnacentral:lncRNA from 1 species